UUUUCAUUUCUAUUCUCCGUAGGAAAUUACCAAAAGAUCUUACUAAUUCUCAAGAUGGAAGAAUUUAAAUCUACCUUUUGGUAUUUUCCUAAGAUGGAACAACGAUUACAAGAAACCGAAGACGAGAAUUUGACGAGAAAUUAAUCUCCGUUUCUUUCGCAGCUACAGUGUCAAAUGUAACAAGUUGACAACAUAAAUCUGGUGCUCCGUAAAACGGUGAAAACAAUGCUCUCUAACGACGGUUCCGCGAAAUCUAAAUCAAAUGACGUCAAAUCGUUAAAAUAAAUUCCCAAGUUAUUCACUUCGAAGGGCAACCGACAGUCUUCCGAUCCGCACGGAGCAUGAACGCUGAUUUACGAGUGGAAAACAUGCGGGUUGGUUGGACAAAAUCUCGCAUUAAUCUGCCGGGCAAAUAAUUAAAACGAACAGUCGAUUAAUCAUCCGCGGCCCCGUGACGCAGUGGCCGAUUACAGUCGAGCGUGGCGAGCCUCGUUCAUGCUUGUAAAACCAAAACGAACUGUAAUUUACAUUCAUUGAAUCAGAGAUAAUCGUUUCUCCCGUUUUCUCGGGCGUCGCACGUGCAGAUACAAAGAUCACUGUACUGCUCGACCAAUUGCUCUGCUGCAGGCCGCGCAAAACGCUUAUCAUUCAACGGGAAAAUCAUGUCUUCUGUUCAUUUUAUUAUCGAUUUUUUCCUUACAUUCCUCGCUCGAUUACGAAAUUGCACGUUUAUCGCGGGAAUUACGUAGUUUUGUUUGCGAUUAGUCGCGUCGACGUUGCAGUUUCAUUUUAAAUGGCAGAGCGUUCUAAAUUCUAGCAUUUCAGUGUUACGAGUGUUGGUUUAAGUGGAUGUGUGUAAUUGUUGUUUAUAUCGUUGGAAAUUUGAAGUUGCGAUUGCUUUAUAGUGGCUGCGAAAAGCAUUUGCACAUCGUUGGAUUUAUCACAGUGUAUUUACACACUGAUUGAUUAAAUCGAAAUAAAUAUUGAAUUUCGUAUUAUUUAGUAGAAAAAUUUCAUACUAUGAAAAUCAAGUAUAAAAUCUGAUUAAAAGAUACUUCAUUAGAAAAUAGGUACCUUUUGUAGCCACUAAAAUAUGAAAGGUUAAUGCUGUUUCAAUGGUUUAUCCAUUAUAACGUUGGGAACAUAUUAAAACUAUAACGCAACCAUUCGAAGUAAACAAAAGGUUGGCAAACUUGAAGAUUCAAAUUGUAGGCAGUUUAAGUAUGAGGAUGAAAUAAUGAUUGAUAUUUACCAAAAUGUCUUGGAGCGACACCGGCAUCAGCGAGCACGUCGACAUGUCUACUAGAUGCACCUUAGAAUCUCACACCACCGAAUCUGUCCUCAAGUCAACUCUCUAUUUUAACACUUUUGAACGCAACAAUAACUGUUACCAAUCUGAACGAACAAUCAAACACAGUCUAACAUUCGAAGCCGAUAUGGUUUCUAUAAAACAUUAUAUUGUAGGAAGUUUGUAAUUAUAAUAAUUGACAAAACUAUGAUCAUUUAAAAUCCAAAUCGUCGAAUCACUUAAACAGACAAUUCUCUGCAACCUUCGACAACUAUUUCGAAGUCAUCCGCGGGACUUUUAACUGACAAAUUUUCUCAUCGAAGUAACUCGAUUUACAACUGUGCACGAUUUUUGAACGACGAAUUUUUCAAUGAAAACAACUGAAUACUAAUUUAUGGAAUUAAUUCGACGAUAUCUUUAUAUUUUUCCUACGACACAAACCGAUGGAAUUGCAUAUUGUUAAUAUUUAAUUGAAGAUAGAAUUAAUAUAGCGAAGGAAAGAUCGCUUGGAACGGUCACUGGUCGAGAAAGUGAGCGUGAAACACGAUUCGAAGAACACGAACACCGAUCGCAACGUGUCCGAUUCGCGGAGACGAAAGAACCGAUCUCCUCGCAAUCGGAAGGCUGACUCGACACUGGCACGUCCUGAUUCCGCGGAAGACUCUCUCACGCCUAUAUUAAAUUAAACCACACUUCCAACCGGUACAGUCAUCGCGAUGCCAUAAUCCAAUAUUUCGAGGUUAAUCCAAGCACGACGAUGCGACCAAUAUGCGAAGAUUCGGAUAACACGUCGUACAGAAUCGAGAGCAGAUUAAAUGGAAUUUUCUAAAUCGUUGCGGUAUUAAUUAGAAGAUCGUGGAAUUUUCACGUGCGUUAAUCAGCUGACUGAACUGUGGUAUAAUCGAUUGCGAAAAAAAGAUUGGAUUAAAAGAGGUCAGAUAAAUGUUUGGAAAUUGAAGUUUUUGAACAGGCGAAUUGAAGAUUGUGAUUGAGAUAAAAAGCGAAUCGAUUGGAGAUAUGAUAAUUUCCGGACAUAUAAAGCGAAUUCUAACGAGUUACUGAUAAUAGAAAGAAGAGAUAGAUUAACAAAUCUGAAGUAAUGAUUUAUCGAUUUGAUUCGACAUAUCUUUUGUAUGUAGGAGGAAUUUAAUCAUUGAAAUAUUUGAAAAAUGAACAUUAUGGAAGUUACGUUAUAAAUAUUUUUACAUCGGAGAAAAAUUAAUACAAGGGAUUAAGAGAGGAUAAAAUUAAGAGAAUUUCUUAGAAAUUUUAACAUUUUGCACCAUCCUUCUACCUUAGGGAACAAAAUAAAAUUACUGCUUUACUUCGAAAACGUAAAUGAAGAAAAAGUUCACAUGAAUGUAACGAAUUUGCCAAAGUUUAAUAAACUCUCCGAUCGAUAUAGAUUAGAAGCAUAUCUUCGAAGUAAUUAAGAUAUCGAGUGAAAAGAUCCCAUAGAAAAAGAAAAAAAAAAUAAUAGAUGUUAAAAAAAUUAUGAAAUGCGAUGUCACUGAAAUUAAAUAUCAGAUCCUAAGUCUGUUUCGUUGAAAAAACGAGACUAGUUACGAACGUUCUCAAAUGACGUAGCGGAUCUACGUUUUAUUCUUGUACAGCAUGAUUCGCACAGGUGAAAUCAUGGAAUUACAACCGACCAGAGAUUCAAUUUGAUCCGUGCAACAUCGGCACGGGCACUUCGUUUUACCUUGCGAGCCAUUAACUACGAGUAACUAGCCUGAUUUAGGAUCGGCCGUGAAGAUCGCCUGUUCCAGCGAAGGAAACCCCACGGUUUAACCAUCGCGUGCUAAUGAACGAAAAAUAAAACAAGUUGAUUCCCUUUGAGGUUCCAACCGGUUUCACGCGGAAAAAAUAUCUUUUAAAUUCUCUUUUUCACUGAGACCAGAGCGUUGUAGUCUUCGGUUAGAUGGCGGUCGAAUCACGUUCGUUAUUAACGAUAUUGUCUGGUGAUUGUGAAAUAGGAGAAGAUGCCGUUAAAAGGGAGAACUUUUUUAAUACUGAACAAUAUUGAAUGUUUAAGAAUUAAAUAAAAUGAGAAAACGAUCGAAAAAGAGGUAAGAAAUAUUUCUUUGUUUCUUCUUUUUAUAAAAUAUAUUCGUCUCGUAAGCUUAAGCCCAAAAUUUGAGUUCAUCUAUAACUGAUUAAUAUAUGAUUAAAAAAAUCGCUAAAUUUAAAAAAAUACUUGUACAAUAAUUCGUAUAAAGUAGAUACCUAUUUAUGCAAAUAUGGAAAUAGAUUUUGUAUGAGAAUUAUUUUCUCAUAUUUGGUAUAAGACAAUGAACGUGUUCUAUAAUUAGAUAAUUGAGUUCCGUUAAAUAAAGAAUUAUUUUAAAAAAGUCUCAACUUCCAUGACGAUUUUAACUCAUUUGCAUUCACAUGAUCUAUUCUAUUGUUUCUAAUUUGAAAUUAGAUACGAACUCAUAUGGGCAGUUAUUAACAAAUUAACGCAAACGCGAGUGUCCACACACGUAACGUCGGUUCGCCUUAGGUUAUACAAGCUGUUCAAAUACUACGCAUUUAAUUCUUUAUUCUCACUGGACAAGCGAGUGUGUGUGGUGCCUUUCUUUGCUCAAAAGAAUCACGAAGCGUUUCGUUGAGUGACCACAAAGUACUACGUAAAUAUUUGAAGCUAAAAUGCAAAGAAGGAAAAAUGUAACGACAAAGCGUAAUCACAUCGAUCGAACCACUCAAAUGACUUCAUCCGACUAUGAACGACCACCAACUGAUCCAUCUACCUCGUUGAGCGAACGACAUUACAUGCCCGGUUGUCUCGACCAGGAGGAACACCCUUCUGGCCUCACGCACAACUCUAUAAAUAGCAAUUCACCUUAUCGCGUUUCGAUAUUCCGCGAAUAAACCCGCUGCUCGCUGCCCAAAGCCCAUUUACCAGUCACAAACUAAAAAAACUCAAUAAAUCAUACUAGUGAAACCAUCUAGAAAAACCAAUAUCUCAUUUGUACCGUGGAAAUGCGAAUUUACACGAAUUUUUACGAAUGUACACGAAUAUCGACGAAUACUUGUCGAAAAUUGAGAAGGGGUUAGGUUAUAUAUCGUCACUCGAAGUCCAUUCACACGUAAAUAAACGAAAACAAACCGAUAAUUUACACCAAAAAUUCAUUUAUUAACGUUAGUAUCACUCAAUAACAUUUUAGCGCCAAUUUUGUACCGUUCUAUACGAAUGUUCUACGAUUCUACAUGAACGUUGUACAAAUUUACACGAGCAAGGGACGGAUAUUCACGAUGACAGACAAAAUGAACGCAAACUAAUUUACACAGAAUUGAUCAAGAAUUCUACGAUAGCACCUAUGCGGAUUAUGUGAUACGAAUAUUCACGAAGGGACAUGAAAUGAAAACAACUCGAUCGCAUGCAAAAUCCAUUCACACAGACCAACAUUACUCAAUGUUUCAGCGUGAAGUUUUACAAAUCUGCACAAAUACUGUACGAUUUCGGGAAUUUACACGAAUGUGAUAGAGAUAUUCACGGAGAGAGACAAAAUGAAAACAACCAAUUGGCAUAAAAAUUCAUACGCAGAUCAACGUCACUCGAUGUUUUAGCGCGAACUUUUUACGAAUCUACACGAUUGCUCUACUAUUCUACGAACUUACACGAAUGUGACACGAAUAUUCACGAAGGGAGACGAUAGGAGACGAGAGUGGCGACGAUGUUUUCGCCAGAUGCAAGGACCCGCGUGUUUCGGGACAGAUGGUCGGCCGGCCACUGAUCGCGAACCUGAGUCGCGUGUUCAGGC